CAGGCGUAGGGGGCAAGCGUUUGUCCGGGAUUUAUUGGGACGUAAAGAGCUGCGUAGGCGGUUUGGUAAGUCAGGUCGUGAAAUCUCCACGGCUACAACGUGGAGGGGCCAGCCUGAUACUGCCAUGACUGGGAGUCCGGUAGGAGAGUGUGGAAUUCCCGGUGUAGCGGUGAAAUGCGCAGAUAUCGGGAGGAACAACCCGUAGCGAAGGCGGGCACUCUGGGCCGGUACUGACG
rnacentral:rRNA from 1 species